rnacentral:misc_RNA from 1 species
AUGAAAAGCACACAAAAUGAACUUGCAUUAGCUAAGAAACUUCAGAACAGCCAACACGUAACAACAAUUAGCUUUCCGACACAUCUGAUUACAUUUAAUGUUUAAAUUCUGUUAAAAAUAUAUUCUGUCAAAAAUAUAUACACAAUGGACCUACAUUAUGUUUUACAUCUGAAUUGCAAUUAUAGCUCUUAUAAUAAUGUCAAAAGAACUGAGUAGGUGAGCCUGAACCAAGGAAGAAUGAGAACAAGCAUAUGUAUAUGUAUUCUAGUUAUUAUACAUACAACAAUUAGAAAAACAUCUAACCUAACAAAACUGUGCGAUGGCUUGUAGACGGCAGCUACUCAAGUAGGAGAUUCAGCCAAAAGUACAGUGUGCCACCAGCCACAUGCUACAUUUCGAGGGACACAACCCUCUAUAGUAACUGGAGAAGGAAUGUUGCGGUCGAUCACAUCCCCCAACCCAAGCUGGCCAUACUUGUUCCACCCCCAGCAUAACACUUUCCCAUCCUCUGUGACUAUAGCAGCGUGACGAGCCCCACAAGAGAUUACUUUUGCAUGCAUAUCUUCCAAACUAGGAGCAUCCAAGAGCCUAGGGGUAGUCUCUGCCUGAUCACCACCAGUACCCAAUUGCCCAAACUGAUUCCCACCAAAUGCAUAAACAUCACCAUCAGCAGAAAUGCAAACAGUGUGCCACAAGCCUGCAGCAACACCCUCUAUCCGCAUGCCCAACAAUGAAGAUACAGAAAUUGGGCUCAGUUCAUCAUCUGUACUCCCUUGUCCACACUGUCCAUAGAGUCCCCAGCCAAAAGUGAGGAGUGCUCCAGCAUCUGUGAUUACUGCACUAUGUCGCCCUCCACAGGCAAUCUCCUUCACAUAACUUCCAGGAACUCUAAAACCAUGCUCCUCUGAAGUCAUGCCUCCUCGAGAAAGUGUUGCAGGUCUAUCUUUUCCAUAGGAAGAAUCAAUGCAAGGUACAGGAUGAGGAGAGGACACCAUGCGUAUCCGGGAGCCCAAACCAAGUUGCCCUUCACCUCCAUAGCCCCAACCCCACACCUGUCCUAUAUCUGACAAUGCUAAAGUGUGGCGACCACCGGCAGCAACAGUAGCAAUCCUCACCCCUGGAUUCAAUGUUACUAGACAUGGCAAUGCUGAGAGUGUCUCAUCAUUGGAAGAUGAGCUUUCAGCUGUUUGUUUUGCAGAUGAAAUUCUCCUGCGCUUUGUACUUUCAUCUCCACCUCCUCGGCUAUCAGUUCCACUACUAGAUCUUGAGCCUUGAGAGCGAGGGCUCACUUGCUCUGCUAAAAAUGGACUCUGCCUUUCUAACACAUCCCUUUCCAUGCUCCCUGGUGAUGGUUCUCCAAAUACCUUCCCUGAGGGAACACACUCUUUCCAACCCCAUGUAUAAACUUCUCCACUAUCUGUAGCUGCUACACAAUGGGCCCAACCAGCUGCAGCUUUUAUGAUAGAAGAUUCAGUUGGAAGAGGGAAGGACUCAGGAAUUUCCUUAACAACAAAAUUAAAAACAAAAUGCAGGUUAGUUCAAGCAAUAUAAAAGAUGGAUAUAAAGUGAAGUUACAGUCUUAUAUAGUGCUACAGCACCCCAUGCUUCCCGGCCGUCACAUAGCUUUGACCUAGAUCGUCUGUUGAACCCCAAGUUAUGAGUUUUCCAGACUCAGAAAUAGCCAUGGCGAAACCGCAACCGCCGCCGCAAACGUCCUUCCAAGUGUAUUCAUCGGGGCGCACAACGACCGGAGACAAAAUCGGCGCCCUUAGCGGCAAGGCUCCCGGAAGGUAUCCCCACAUAAAAACCAACUUAUCCUUAACCAUUUCCUCCAUUUUCAGUCCCUCAUCUCCCCAUUUUCCCUCCCCAUUCAUGUCUAGCAGAGCAGAAAGGAC